rnacentral:rRNA from 1 species
UACGUAGGGGGCAAGCGUUGUCCGGAAUCAUUGGGCGUAAAGCGCGUGUAGGUGGCCAUGUAGGUCCGCUGUGAAAACUUGAGGCUCAACCUCAAGCUGUCGGUGGAAACCACAUGGCUAGAGUCCGGAAGAGGAGAGUGGAAUUCCCGGUGUAGCGGUGAAAUGCGCAGAUAUCGGGAAGAACACCCGUGGCGAAGGCGGCUCUCUGGGACGGUACUGACGCUGAGGCGCGAAAGCUAGGGGGAGCAAACGGG